AUUUUGGAAAUUUCACCAUUUGCUAGAACAAGUUUUUCUUGACUCUGAAUGUCCCUUACCUAAAGAACAUUACCACUUCAGCUGCAAUGCAGGAUUCACAAAAGUGCCAAACACUUGUUCCACCGGCUUGGACUUUGAAUAAUAGGUGUCUGAAACCCCUUCAAAGUGGAUGAGAGAGAGAGAGAGAGGGUGAAAGAGACCCUGACACAUCCAAUUAACCAUCACCAUCGGAUACUAGAGUCUACAGAGCUGGGGCAGCAGGCAGUGGUCACGAGGCACCGUGGUACCAGGGCUGGUCAUGAGCUAGGGAGCGGAUGAAGACAGCCCAUCUGAAGUCUCAUCUAGAGAGUGAUUCACAGGUUUCAAAAGUCAAUGGAGAGUCAGUUACAAAAUUAUGAGACCCCAGUUAGAUUCUCAAAGCUGUGUUUUCCUGGCCAUGUUGUCUUGGCCCCUCCCCACGACUGCUUCCUUCAGAAGGUUGAAACCCAGAAGAUAAUAGAACAAACAUAGCCCAGAGAAAUCUACAUGAGACACCCCAAAGGCCAUGAUCUUGGCAGGUUGUGGCAUUAAAAG